AUGCAAGUCGAACGAGAAAGGGUCCUUCGGGGCCUGAGUAGAGUGGCGAAAGGGUGAGUAAUGCCUAGAUAACCUACCCUCGUGUUGGGGAUAACAGCUGGAAACGGCUGCUAAUACCGAAUGAAGCCGGAAGGCCGCAUGACUUUCCGGUGAAAGGUGGGGAUCCUUCGGGACCUACCGGACGAGGAGGGGUCUAGGUCCUAUCAGCUUGUUGGUGAGGUAACGGCUCACCAAGGCUUUGACGGGUAGCCGACCUGAGAGGGUGACCGGCCACACUGGGACUGAGACACUGCCCAGACUCCUACGGGAGGCUGCAGUCGAGAAUCUUCGGCAAUGGACGAAAGUCUGACCGAGCGACGCCGCGUGGAGGAUGAAGGCCUUCGGGUUGUAAACUCCUGUCACGGGUUAUGAAAUCCACCGUUGCUAAUACCUUCAGUGGUUGACAAAGGCCCGAGAGGAAGUCAUGGCUAACUCUGUGCCAGCAGCCGCGGUAAUACAGAGAUGGCAAGCGUUGUUCGGAAUUACUGGGCAUAAAGGGCACGUAGGCGGCUUCGUCAGUCAGGUGUGAAAUCCCUCGGCUCAACCGAGGAAUUGCGCCUGAAACUGCGAGGCUUGAGGGCAGGAGGGGAGAGUGGAACUCUUGGUGGAGCGGUGAAAUGCGUAGAUACCAAGAGGAACGCCGGUGGCGAAAGCGACUCUCUGGCCUGUUUCUGACGCUGAGGUGCGAAAGCUAGGGGAGCAAACAGGAUUAGAUACCCUGGUAGUCCUAGCCGUAAACGAUGGGCACUAAGUAGAGGGGUUUU
rnacentral:rRNA from 1 species